GAUGAACGCUGGCGGCGUGCCUAAUACAUGCAAGUCGAGCGAACAGACGAGGAGCUUGCUCCUCUGACGUUAGCGGCGGACGGGUGAGUAACACGUGGAUAACCUACCUAUAAGACUGGGAUAACUUCGGGAAACCGGAGCUAAUACCGGAUAAUAUAUUGAACCGCAUGGUUCAAUAGUGAAAGACGGUUUUGCUGUCACUUAUAGAUGGAUCCGCGCCGCAUUAGCUAGUUGGUAAGGUAACGGCUUACCAAGGCGACGAUGCGUAGCCGACCUGAGAGGGUGAUAGGCCACACUGGAACUGAGACACGGUCCAGACUCCUACGGGAGGCAGCAGUAGGGAAUCUGCCGCAAUGGGCGAAAGCCUGACGGAGCAACGCCGCGUGAGUGAUGAAGGUCUUCGGAUCGUAAAACUCUGUUAUUAGGGAAGAACAAAUGUGUAAGUAACUAUGCACGUCUUGACGGUACCGAAUCAGAAAGCCACGGCUAACUACGUG
rnacentral:rRNA from 1 species